rnacentral:lncRNA from 1 species
GAUGAUACGGUACGGAAGACCAGUGAGGCCCAUUCUACGCCCCUGGCACAGUUGGACCAUGUUAUGUUAUGUUAUGUAAGAGAAAGACCAGUGAGGCCCAUUCUACGCCCCUGGCACAGUUGGUCCAUGUAAGGGACUAUUGGUGACAAAUUCAUCCUUGAUGUGAUUAGCUGUGAUGUGAUGCAUUUCAUGUUAUCAUAUGUUUUUAAAUGUUUUACUAUUCUGCUCACUGGGCUUUGUAGCUCACCCCUCUCCCCUAACCCCAGAUGUGCAGGUACAGGGUAGACCAGGAGGUUAGCCAGAGUUUUGAAGUAUGUUUAUGUAAUAAGUUAGAUUGUGGACAUG